UGCCCUCUCCCAGUUGAUCCAGGCGAUCAACACUAGCCCUUUCACCAGCUUGCUCUUGACUGCAAGGCCCCCAGAGUCCAUCAGCCCCCACGACCAUGCUUUGAUAACAUGCAUGUACCACGCUUACUGCUGGAUGAUCAACACCCGGCUGCCAGUAUACAAGGCCCUCCCUGACUUGUCCUACUCGGCCCUACGUUCUGGGCCGAGAGACGAUCUUGUUGCAGCAGCGGAAAACAUGUAUAUGAUGGAGCGAAUACCCAAUUAUGUCGAGG